UUUUAAACUUGAUAUUGUUGCUUUUACCUGAUUACCAAAUAGCUGUAUACAGUCACUUGAUAUGAGGCUGGUAAUGAUUCUUUCUACUUUCGAUCAGGAGGGAUACACACCUGUUAAUAUCAUUUUUAUUUCUCAUUGUUUUGA